ACAAGUGCGGCCGGUUUCCUGUGUGAACCACGACCAUGUGAUGUUCCAUAAACGCUCCCAGCUCCAAAUUACAGGAAAUGAAAGCCAUCGUGGACCAGGGAAGGGGCCAGAGCCCAUUUCCACUGCACCAGCGUCGCGGCGACGUUAGUGGGAGGCCGGGCGGGCCGCCCCGCCAGUACCUGGAGAACCAGAUGUACACACGUACCAGAGAAGACAGAAGCCAAAGGUUAUGAAAACAGACCGCUGCCAUCAGGAACAAUGACAUUUUAUUGGCCUGCUUGUCAAUACUGUAGAGUUCACAAGUUAAAAAAGCCCAGGAGACAUAACGCAGGACAUAGGAAAGUGUGCUAGGAACAGCGUGAGCCACUGAGGGGGUGACAGGCUGCGUGUGUGAGCCUAGCACUGAGGGUUUCCGGGCUCUCCCCACAGCCAUUCUCUGCAGCGUGGAGACUCACCUGUACCAUGAAUUCCCCACGGUCACCCCAUCUCGCUGUGACCGAAGUUGCCUCACUCUCUCUGCUUCCCCGUCUCCGAGGCUUAGUUGCUGUAUUCACUGAACCCAGGAGCAUUCACACUGGUGUGGGAGUGUGGACACGGUUCAGACCCAGCCAAGCGUCACCUUCAGCUCUGCUGGCUGCCUACCUCCACCUCCCCAGUGCUGCCAUUAAAAGCACAGACACCCAGAUUUUCACACAGGGGUUGGGAGGAACUCUGGGCUUCAUGCUUGCAGAAUGCGGUGGUUUGGAUAAAAGGGCUCCCACAGGCCGUAAGGAGGACUAUACGUCCCCGCUGGAGGGAGUGGGGCUUUGUUGGAGGAUGUGUGACUGCUGCGGGUAGCCUUGGAGGUCAUGUGUCUCGUCUCCUGCCUCCUGCCUCCCCACGCCCAGCAGAGAUAGUCCUGAGCCUCUUGGGUGAUCCAUAGUGUGGCCCCUUUCGGCCCUUGGUCCACUGUCCUGCUCCUUACAAGCUGGUGUCCACGCUACCAGGCAGCUGCACUUUCCCUCAGGACUCCACGCUGUCCAGACAAUGGAUCUAGACAUGUGCGUGCCUCUCAGUCUCUCCUUGACACCUCCUUCCCAGGAGGCCCUCCUUGCGGUCAGGCACAAAACACACCCCUUCCCUUUCAGACUUCCACACAGUACCUCUCAGGCUCUUGUUUUCCUCUUAAAGCCAUUGUUCCAUCAUCUUUAAAACCUUCUUCUCCUUCUUCUUCUUCUUCUUCUUCUUCUUCUUCUUCUUCUUCUUCUUCUUCUUCUUCUUCUUCCUCCUCCUCCUCCUCCUCCUCCUCCUCCUCCUCCUCCUCCUCCUCCUCCUCUUCUUCUUCUUCUUCUUCUUCGAUCACUGCUUGUCCUGGUUAGUUUUUGCCAACUUGACAUAAACCGAGAUAUACCUGGGAAGAGGGAACUUCAGCUGAGAACAUGCCUCCGUCAGAUUUGCUUGUAAGCAAGAAUGUGAAACAUUUUCCUGAUGAAUGAUUGUGUGAGGGGGACCUUGCGCAGGUGACCCUGGGUUGUAGAAAAAGGCACUGAAAAGAAAGCUCAUAAACAAUGUCUCUUCAUGGACAGUGCUCCAGUUCCUGCUUCAACCCCCUCCUCUGAUGGACUGUAACCAGCAAAUUGCGACAGAAGAAAAAAAGACAAUGCUGCAAUCUUGCUGUAGACCAGCUCUUACCUGCUUAAUGGAUGAAUUAUAUAUGAACGUUCCAUACUUGGCAUUGAAGUAGGUUGGUCACAGGUCAGGGGAGGUAGCUCAGAAAGCGUUUACUGUGGGUUUUAGUCAGUGUCCUGUUGCCGUGAAGAGACGCUAUGACCAUGGCAACCGUUAUGAAGAAGAGCAUUUAAUUUGACCUGGCUUACAGUGUCAGAGGUUUAGCUGGAAAGCAGGGUGCAGGCAGACAUGGUGCUGGAGAAGGAGCUGAGAGUUCCACAUCUUGAUCUGCAGACAGCAGGAAGGACACCAGGACACACUGGCCAGGCCUGAGUUUCCGAGACCUCAGAGCCCAUCUGCAGCGGUCACACAUCCUCCAACGAAGCCACACUUGCUCCAGCAGCGACACACGUCCCGUGGGCCUCCGGGAUUCAUUUUAUUCAAACCAUCAGCACAUUAUGCAAGCAUGAAGAUCAGAGUUCAAGUCCCAGCCCCUGUGUAAAACACUAGGUGGCUGUUGUGGAACUCUGUGGGAUAAGGCUGAAGUCUGACAUUUCCAGAUGGACUCUGGGUAGGGUCUGUGAUGGUGGACUCUCUUUUCUCGGUGGGAUUCUCUCUCUCCGCUGGAUCUGGUAACCCCAGAUCUUGUAAGGAGCAUCACACAGGAGUAAUCACACAGAUUACAGACACAACCGUUUCCUAAUAAGGAAACCUGUUUAGUAAGCACUUGGGGGUUCCUGGAGAUACCAACCCUACGGUAAUAGGAUGUCUUGGUGUCUUGGCUUUCCACCAGUGACCUUCAGUCGUACCUGGAGAUUCCCCCCCCCCAUAGGAUGAUUAAGUACUGUGUUCUUGUGAUUGGACCGUAUGAGGUACUGCUGCCCUGAACGUAAAUCAACUAUCCCCAGCUCCUCUAUCCCCAGAGAAUCAAACACAUUGAUCCUCGAAACCCCUCCCACUGCCCAACGUUGGCAUGUCCCUGAUUUCACGUGACAUAAAGGUGCAAUGUGAUGCAUGCCAGCAUCAGCUUUCCAUCAUGGCUGCCGGAGAUUCGUCACUUAUUCUGAAGGAAGGAGGGUGCCCCUCCUUCCUGGAGAUUCACCGCUGAACUCUUUGGGUUUGGCUGCCAGCCUGGAUCCUGCCCAAUUGCUUUGAGCCUCUGGGGCUUGACUGUCAGUCAGUUGGCUAUGUGCUGCUGGCCACAGGGAGCCCCUACCAUUCACCAGCAUGCCUAAGAGCCUCAGCAGCCACUGACCUGCCUUAUGCCAGGCCUGCAUCUUACCAGACCUGCCUUUUGGCCCACUGGGCCUGGGCUUCAUCAGGCCUGUGUUUCAGCUGCAAGCCAACCAGGCAUGGUUUUUUGCCCACAUACUCUGCCAUGCUUAGCAUGACAGUUUGACAAAGGGCUGUAACACUUUGGCAUUGUCAUAGACUUUGGAAUCACUCAGUUUCCUCUGCCACUUGCAAAUUCAUUUAAAAGAGCUAAAUUGUAACACUCCAUGGAAAACUCUUUCUGUACCCAGCCUAGCACACUGGCAUUGCCUUAAAGCACUCUAUCUGUUCCUGAGAGAAACAGAACCCCAUCCCGGGGUUGCUAUGUUCUUUGUCCAGAAGCCAACAGCUGCAUCCCAGACUCCUGGAAGAAAGACAGGCUAUGCUUUUAAUCCCUGCACUGGAGAGGUGGAGGUAGUUAGCCAAACCCUAUCUCAUCACUGAGCCCAAGAUCAUAGAGACCAUGUUUCAAAAGGUGUUUGGUCCCUAAAAAAUGUUGCCCAACAUGGACCUCUGACCUACACACACACACACACACACACACACACACACACACACACACGUUCAACUUUCCUUACAUCCCAGUUUGGUUUGAUGGUUGUACUUAGAAACUGACUUUCACUUAACGUAAUUCUUUUUAGAAUUUUUAAUUGUUAUUUUAUGUGUAUAUGUGUGCGGAGUUCUUUGCCCACAUGCAUACAUGUAUCUACAGAGGUCAGAAGGGAACAUCCGGUUCCUUGGACUGGAGGUAUAGAUGACUGUGAGCCUCCAUGUGGGUGCUAGAACCAAACCCAGGGCCUCUGCAAAAGCAAUAAGUGUUCUUACCUGUUGAACUAUCUUUUUCUCCAGCCUCCAUUUAGUGUUAUUCUGUACCAAAAAGAAUUUUAAAAGGCAGAAGUUAUAAAAGAGAAAUGCCAAAGUAGCCCCAAGUCCAAACACAAUCUGUUGUUUGUAAUGUCUGCUUACCUAUCUCUACACCAGCAUCUUGGCCAUUUUUUUUUUUUGUAUGUCACUUCUCAUUCUCUCAACCACACACACACCUAAACUGCCUUGGGUUUGUUGCAGUGGCCAGUUCAUUGUAAGUUUAUACGGCUUCUAACUGUCAGAGCUUAUUUUCUAUGGGUCUAAUUGCAAUAAAUAUGGGCAGAAAUUAAUGAAUAAAA